GUGCAACCUUCGCUCACUACAAUCUCUUGGUUUCAAGCAAUCCUCCUGGCUUAGCUUCCCCAGUAGCUGGGAUUACAGGCGCAGGCCACCGCACCCCGCUAAUUUUGUAUAUUUAGUAGUGACAGGGUUUUACUAUGUUGGCAGGCUGGUCUGGAACUCCUGACCUGAGAUGAUCCGCCCACCUUGGCCUCCCAAAGUGCUGGGAUUACAGGCAUGAGCCACUGCGUCCUGCCAGUAGAGCAGUGUUUACUUUGAAUGAAAAACAAUGACCUGUAAUUUUUUUUCUAGAAUUGACAUAAUACAAAACAAAUUGCUCCGGACCCGGUAUCGUGUACUUUUAUUUUUUUAACCGCAGCUCCCUUCCGCAGGCUGAACACCUUAGGGACCAGCAACCAGAUGGUGUCGUUUGCAGUGAAGAUCGAACUCGAGUUGUAGCCGAAUUGGAGAGGAGAGAGUGACAUGUGCGCCCCCUUCCUGCGGUCGGUAGAUGCACCAUGGGAAGCUCGAGGGACCCAUCACUGGGGCUGCGUGAACGUCACUCCGACUCAAUGAGCGGCUCCUGUCUCUCGCAUGUGCACUGGCAAGGCGACUCUACCCUCAGAGGCAGGGGAAGGCAAAGAAGGAACUCUCCGGGUGCCUGGGAGGGGGCGCGGCCCUGUGGACCCUUGCAUCUGACCUGGACUCUGGGCUUCAGACUUCUGCUCUCCAGAACUGUAAGAGAACACAAUUCUGUUGUUUUAAUCCAUCAGGUUUGUGGUCAUUUGUUACAGCCCCACAGGAAACAAAUAUGUUAA
rnacentral:lncRNA from 13 species